GCUCUGCUGGGGGAAUGAGGUGCUCCGGAAGAGGAUACAGCCCGGCGAUACUGAGGCUGAGGUCAGCCUAGAGAUGCGCAUGCGUAUCAAAAGAUGACGAGCGUGGCAAUCUCGGCGGGCUCGCUAAAGUCAGGGGAAGGAGAGAAACAAUGGGGAAGGGAGCAUAACAUGGAUGUGGGGCAGGAGGGGCCGUGGUCGGAGCUGCAUUGCGUGGGCAUAUUGGGUAUUAUUUGAGCUGAUACUCCAUUUUCUUACAAGAGAUGUGGUCCCGUCGAUGUUGGCUGUCGAAUUUGUGCUGCAGUCCAUGCCCACCACGUCCGAGUCUUCGCCCCUUCGUCAUCCAACACGAACAACAGAACAAAGUAGCAGUCAUGAUUUGCCAGGUUGGAGAACUAACGCAGCUUGCUGCCACGGAGUGCUCACCCUUCUUCUGUGCCAUAAAGCCCCUCGGUCGAAACUUGCAAAUAAAAAUUGCUGACCUUGUCAAUCUCGCUGGAACGACGUCUAGCUCAUUGUGCUCUACUCACUAUAACUAACUGCAUAUCUCAUAACUAAAGCCAUGAACAAGUGCUUCAGUUAUGCUGGUGGCAAUACAUUGCUUGAGGUGACCUCAUGUGCAAGAUUAUCCCCAUGGAGGGAGCUGGCACGGAGACAUUUGCUCACAUCAGUACUAUGAGCAGCCUGGUUGGGUGGUGACGUUUCCGAGUGGCCAAGCAAGAGCUUUUUUUGGUCUACACCUAUGCAGUGGUGACUUCUGCUACAAUGUGCAUCAACACCAGAACCAUGUUCCCGAUCAUGGACGCUGUUGUGUCCCUCACCGGCUCUCUCCUUGCCAUCACCGAGGGGGGUUGUGCAGGCCACUACUCGCGCAACUACUUUGAAGUGUGGAGCAUGCCAUUGAGAUAGACCAAAAGAAGAACAUCGCCGACAACAACACCAAUGGGGGCCUCCCUGGUUGCCACCACCGCCGCUGCCGUCGUCGCCCUCCCCGCUGCCCCACACCACACUGCCAGAUAGGUCUGUGUGCUUUUCCCUUGCCCCCUGCUUAUUGCACUCAGGAUGUGUUGGUGCCAUGCUUUGCCUAUAUGUGAUCUCCUAUUCUGUUGUAAAAUUCUUUUUGCUUAUGAUUUCUUACUGUAGUGUGAAAUUUUAAUUGCUUGGGUUGUUACUGCUAUGAAAAUAUAUUGCUAUAUUUAGGUUUGUUACUUUAGUCUCUCUUCCUCCCUUGUUUUAUAAUGGUAUGAAAUUCUAUUUUGCUGAAAGAUC